CAUCUUUGAGAUUUUACACAGUAGUCAUGGAGUUUUUGGAAGAGAGAAAGUGGAGAUGUGGAGAUCGUGGGGAUG